GAUGAAGAACGUAGCGAAAUGCGAUAAGUAAUGUGAAUUGCAGAAUUCAGUGAAUCAUCGAAUCUUUGAACGCACAUUGCGCCCGGCAGCAAUCUGCCGGGCAUGCCUGUCCGAGCGUCAUUUCUUCCCUCGAGCGCGGCUAGCCCUACGGGGCCUGCCGUCGCCCGGUGUUGGGGCUCUACGGGUGGGGCUCGUCCCCCCCGCAGUCCCCGAAAUGUAGUGGCGGUCCAGCCGCGGCGCCCCCUGCGUAGUAGAUCCUACAUCUCGCAUCGGGUCCCGGCGAAGGCCAGCCGUCGAACCUUUUAUUUUCAUGGUUUGACCUCGGAUCAGGUAGGGUUACCCGCUGAACUUAAGCAUAUCAAUAAGCGGAGGA
rnacentral:misc_RNA from 1 species